GUCUAUGGCCAUACUCCCCUGAACAAGCUGGAUCCUGUCCUAUCUCGGAAGCUAAACAGGGUGGGGCCUGGUUAGUACUUGGAUGGGAGACCACCUAGGAAGACCAGGUGCAGUAGGCA
ensembl:rRNA 5S_rRNA 5S ribosomal RNA